rnacentral:rRNA from 1 species
CGAGGAAUUUUGCGCAAUGGGCGAAAGCCUGACGCAGCAACGCCGCGUGGGUGAGGAAGGCCUUCGGGUCGUAAAGCCCUUUUGUCGGGGACGAAUGAUGACGGUACCCGACGAAGAAGCCACGGCUAACUACGUGCCAGCAGCCGCGGUAAUACGUAGGUGGCAAGCGUUGUCCGGAUUUAUUGGGCGUAAAGCGCGCGCAGGUGGUGCGGUGCGUCCGCCGUGAAAUCUCCCGGCUCAACUGGGAGGGGGCGGCGGAGACGGCCGGACUGGAGGCACUCAGAGGCUGGUGGAAUUCCCGGUGUAGUGGUGAAAUGCGUAGAGAUCGGGAGGAACACCUGUGGCGAAGGCGGCCAGCUGGGGGUGACCUGACGCUGAGGCGCGAAAGCGUGGGGAGCGAACCGGAUUAGAUACCCGUGUAGUCC